rnacentral:rRNA from 1 species
AUUGAACGCUGGCGGCAGGCCUAACACAUGCAAGUCGAACGGUAACAGGAAGCAGCUUGCUGCUUUGCUGACGAGUGGCGGACGGGUGAGUAAUGUCUGGGAAACUGCCCGAUGGAGGGGGAUAACUACUGGAAACGGUAGCUAAUACCGCAUAACGUCGCAAGACCAAAGAGGGGGACCUUAGGGCCUUUUGCCAUCGGAUGUGCCCAGAUGGGAUUAGCUAGUAGGUGGGGUAACGGCUCACCUAGGCGACGAUCCCUAGCUGGUCUGAGAGGAUGACCAGCCACACUGGAACUGAGACACGGUCCAGACUCCUACGGGAGGCAGCAGUGGGGAAUAUUGCACAAUGGGCGCAAGCCUGAUGCAGCCAUGCCGCGUGUAUGAAGAAGGCCUUCGGGUUGUAAAGUACUUUCAGCGGGGAGGAAGGGAGUAAAGUUAAUACCUUUGCUCAUUGACGUUACCCGCAGAAGAAGCACCGGCUAACUCCGUG